rnacentral:rRNA from 1 species
CCGUGAUGAACUAACCGUCUGUCGCUGGGGAGGAGUUCCGAUUGGGAAAUUGCAGAAAAAAUUUACCUCUUUCGCUAUAGGCGAGGGGAAGAUUAACAAAAUAUGCACGCCUUUGCCUAGAAUUAUUUAAACCAAUUUUUGACAAAGGUAAAAGCUAAUAACUAUCGAAAAAGUAAACGCCGCUCAUUCUUACCUUUGGUAGUAUGACCAGUUGACCGGCUUUAAAUUACUAAAUUUAGUUUUUUUAGUCUAAAUAGUUAUUUUUAUUUGUAGUGUUAGUUAUUCUUAAUUUGUUUAAUUGAACUUUGCUUUUUUAAACUUUUUUUAGAGUUUUAACAAUUUGUUAUGGAUUGUAGUUCGAUGAACCCUUCUGAGUAACAUCUCAAAAGUCAUAGCAAGGUAGCUUGUACUGGAA